rnacentral:rRNA from 2 species
UGCCUAAUACAUGCAAGUCGAGCGAAUGACGAGGAGCUUGCUCCUCUGAUUUAGCGGCGGACGGGUGAGUAACACGUGGGCAACCUGCCCUGCAGACUGGGAUAACUUCGGGAAACCGGAGCUAAUACCGGAUAAUCCAUUUUACUUCAUGGUGAAAUGUUGAAAGGCGCUUUCGCGCCACUGCAGGAUGGGCCCGCGGUGCAUUAGCUAGUUGGUGGGGUAACGGCCUACCAAGGCGACGAUGCAUAGCCGACCUGAGAGGGUGAUCGGCCACAUUGGGACUGAGACACGGCCCAAACUCCUACGGGAGGCAGCAGUAGGGAAUCUUCCACAAUGGACGAAAGUCUGAUGGAGCAACGCCGCGUGAGUGAUGAAGGUUUUCGGAUCGUAAAACUCUGUUGUAAGGGAAGAACAAGUACGUUAGGAAAUGAACGUACCUUGACGGUACCUUAUUAGAAAGCCACGGCUAACUACGUGCCAGCAGCCGCGGUAAUACGUAGGUGGCAAGCGUUGUCCGGAUUUAUUGGGCGUAAAGCGCGCGCAGGUGGUUUCUUAAGUCUGAUGUGAAAUCUCGCGGCUCAACCGCGAGCGGUCAUUGGAAACUGGGGAACUUGAGUGCAGAAGAGGAUAGUGGAAUUCCAAGUGUAGCGGUGAAAUGCGUAGAGAUUUGGAGGAACACCAGUGGCGAAGGCGACUGUCUGGUCUGUAACUGACACUGAGGCGCGAAAGCGUGGGGAGCAAACAGGAUUAGAUACCCUGGUAGUCCACGCCGU